GGGUUGUGAGGUUAAGCGACCAAGCGUACACGGUGGAUGCCCUGGCAGUCAGAGGCGAUGAAGGACGUGCUAAUCUGCGAAAAGCGCCGGCGAGGUGAUAUGAACCCUUGACCCGGCGAUGUCCGAAUGGGGAAACCCAGUGUGA
rnacentral:rRNA from 1 species